rnacentral:lncRNA from 1 species
GCCAUGCUCUGUUUUUCAUCUCAUUGUGCCUGUCCGGUUUUCAAUCUCCAACUUUAAAACUUUCUAAAAGACUACCUUCAACUCAGAACAAAACCAUGGUGCUUUUGGAUGAUGUAGCCUGGUUUUGUCUGCUGGUGUAUGCAUGUGUACAAGUAGUACACUGAUCAGUACAAAACAGCAAGCAAAAUACAAUAACUGCUGGGACAAUAUAAUAUAACAUCCUCUAAUUUCCCUUCUUCCACCUCUCUCUCUCCCUCAAAUUAAUUUUUUAGCAACUUCGUUCAUCAGCAUACUAGGCCCUUGUUCACUUCCUACAAAACUCCCAACUUUGGCACUAUGCAAAAAGAAGAUUCCCCAUCACAUCAAACUUGCGGUACAUGUAUGGAGUACUAAAUGUAGACGAAAUUAAAAACUAAUUGCACAGUUUUGUUGUACUUUGCGAGACGAAUCUUUUGAGCCUAAUUAGUCAAUAUUUGGACAAUAAUUCACAAAUACAAACGAAACGCUACAGUGUUGCUACAGUAAUUUAGCACCUCCCAAAUUCGCAAAGUAAACAAGGGCUAGGAUUCCAUCAUUUCUUUGGGAAUCGCGUUGUUUCCUAUAUUUUUGUGCUGUAUUAGAAAUCGUAAGGAACUUGAAUUCAAGAAC